rnacentral:lncRNA from 1 species
UUUCGUCUUCUCGAUACCUUGAUGUGAACUGUGCAAUCCCUAAAGAACUUGAACUUGCUUCUGUUUUGAAUUACCAGCCUAUUAUCAUGUAAAACUAAACCAUUUUCAGUACUUAAAUUAUUUAAUAUCUUGGGAAACUGGUUGUACUGAAUCGUUUAUACAAUUGUCUUCAAAACAUUGACUAAAUCUUCAUAUGUUUGAUCCUUCAUUGCCUCUUUUCUAAUAUCUUUUAUUAAUGGAUCAACAAAUCUUUCUUCAUCUUCUAAAUGAGUACCUCUAAUAACAGCAACUCUUAUAACUUGUCUUCUGUGAUAUUCAACAUAUUUAUCCAACUCUUCAGCUUCCUCAGGACGAGACAACAGUGAUCUUGAUAAUACAUCUCGUACUUCAUGAUAUUUCUACUUUAUCAAUUUCGUAUCAAAUUGAUAUUUUCAAUUUAAAUCUAAUUAGUCUAGCAUAAUCUAGCUUAUCUAUGUUGGAAUUAUUAAGCAUGAUCCGUAAUUACACUAAAUCUAGGUCAGCCUGCUAGAUAUAUGUGACAUUUCUUUAUAUCCCACACUACACCCAAACAUUCCAAUUCUAUCAUGGAGUAUCUUGUUUCAGCACCUGCUAAAAAUUAGGAGCCACAUUGAAUUAAUUUUCUUUCUUCUUUGUGCUUCUGACAUAACACAUAUCCCAAUCCAUUUAUUCUCGAUGUAUCAGUUUCAAGUUUGGUUUCUAAUCUUGGAUCGAACGGCGCUAAUGUUGGUGAUACUCUACUUUUGACGAUAAAAGCUCUCUCAGUGGACUUACAACUUCACUAAUUCUUGGUGAAAACUGACCCAAUCCCAAAAAACUUAUCAAUUUCUUUCUAGAUGAUGGGUUUGCAAAAUUUUUAAUAGCAUUCAAUUUACUUGGAUCCGCUUCAAUACUCUUCUAGGAUAAAACAUAACCCCAAUAUUUUAAUUUAGGAUUCUCCGGACAUUCUUAAUAUGACCUUCGAAAUUUUGUGAUACAUUAAAAAUGUCAUCUACGACUUUGUAAGUGUUUGAUAAACCUUCAAAUACCUCAUCUCCACCAAGACAAUAUGCGUCCCCCCGUUGCUAUGAAUCCCAUCGGAGCUUCAUUAAAUAAAAAUCUACCCCAAGGAGUCAUAAAAUACGUCAUUUAUCUUUAUUUUUCUUCCAGUUCCAUCUGCCAAUAUCCCUGUUUUGCAUCCAAAGUUGUAAAAAACUGAAUGUUUAUUGGAAUACUUGAUAUUAUGUCCCAAGGUGUUCGCAUGGGAUCGAUUGACCUCUUAACUUGAUCAUUUAAUUUCAUAAGAUUCAAACAUAUUCACACUUUUCUACUAUGUUUGGGUACAACAACUAAUAGAUGACACCAAUAUCCACUGUUUUAUCAUCGAUUUUACUUAUUAUUUUCAUUAUUUCCAUUUUGUUAAUUUUUUUCUUCACUUCUUCUCUAUAGGUAAAUGGUAUGUUUCUUGCAGUAUGAAUUGCGUAUGGUUGAUAAUCUUCUUUAAGACUUAUCUUCAUUGGUUGCCCCUCCAUAAUUUUUGUUAUGUAUUUCAUAUUUCCUUUCAUGAUGUUCUUAUCUUCUUGUAUAUUCGUUAUGUAUUAUAAUUACUGUG